GACGAACGCUGGCGGCGUGCUUAACACAUGCAAGUCGAACGGUGAAGCGCCUUCCUUUUUGGUGGGUGUGGAUGAGUGGCGAACGGGUGAGUAACACGUGAGUAACCUGCCCCCUUCUUCUGGAUAACCGCAUGAAAGUGUGGCUAAUACGGGAUAUUCUGGGUCUGUCGCAUGAUGGGUCUGGGAAAGAUAUUGUUUCGGUGGGGGAUGGGCUCGCGGCCUAUCAGCUUGUUGGUGGGGGGGUGGCCUACCAAGGCGGUGACGGGUAGCCGGCCUGAGAGGGUGGACGGUCACACUGGGACUGAGACACGGCCCAGACUCCUACGGGAGGCAGCAGUGGGGAAUAUUGCACAAUGGGCGCAAGCCUGAUGCAGCGACGCCGCGUGAGGGAUGGAGGCCUUCGGGUUGUGAACCUCUUUCGCCAGUGAAGCAGGCCUGCCUCGUUUGUGGGUGGGUUGACGGUAGCUGGAUAAGAAGCGCCGGCUAACUACGUG
rnacentral:rRNA from 1 species